UGGGGGAUAUUGCACAAUGGGCGAAAGCCUGAUGCAGCGACGCCGCGUGGGGGAUGAAGGCUUUCGGGUUGUAAACCUCUUUCGCUAUCGAACAAGGCCCGCUUAGGGUGGGUUGAGGGUAGGUGGAGAAGAAGCGCCGGCUAACUACGUGCCAGCAGCCGCGGUAAUACGUAGGGCGCGAGCGUUGUCCGGAAUUAUUGGGCGUAAAGGGCUUGUAGGCGGCUUGUUGCGCCUGCUGUGAAAACGCGGGGCUUAACUUCGCGCGUGCAGUGGGUACGGGCAGGCUUGAGUGUGGUAGGGGUGACUGGAAUUCCAGGUGUAGCGGUGGAAUGCGCAGAUAUCUGGAGGAACACCGAUGGCGAAGGCGGCCCCCUGGACAAAGACUGACGCUCAGGUGCGAAAGCGUGGGGAGCAAACAGG
rnacentral:rRNA from 1 species